rnacentral:rRNA from 1 species
AUACGUAGGGGGCGAGCGUUGUCCGGAAUGACUGGGCGUAAAGGGCGUGUAGGCGGCGGAUUAAGUCUGGAGUGAAAGUCCUGCUUUCAAGGUGGGAAUUGCUUUGGAUACUGGUCGGCUUGAGUGCGGAAGAGGUAAGUGGAAUUCCCAGUGUAGCGGUGAAAUGCGUAGAGAUUGGGAGGAACACCAGUGGCGAAGGCGACUUACUGGGCCGUAACUGACGCUGAGGCGCGAAAGCGUGGGGAGCGAACAGGAUUAGAUACCCUGGUAGUCCACGCGGUAAACGAUGAAUGCUAGGUGUAGGGGGUAUCGACCCCUCCUGUGCCGGAGUAAACACAAUAAGCAUUCCGCCUGGGGAGUACGGCCGCAAGGUUGAAACUUAAAGGAAUUGACGGG